AGAGUUUGAUCCUGGCUCAGAUUGAACGCUGGCGGUAUGCUUAACACAUGCAAGUCGAACGGAAACGAAACUAGCUUGCUAGUAGGCGUCGAGUGGCGGACGGGUGAGUAACGCGUAGGAAUCUGCCUGAUAGUGGGGGAUAGCCCGAAGAAAUUCGGAUUAAUACCGCAUAAUCUAUUCGUAGUAAAGUGGGGGACUUUCGAGCCUCACGCUAUCAGAUGAGCCUGCGUAAGAUUAGCUUGUUGGUAGGGUAAAAGCCUACCAAGGCAACGAUCUUUAGCUGGUCUGAGAGGAUGAUCAGCCACAUCGGGACUGAGACACGGCCCGAACUCCUACGGGAGGCAGCAGUGGGGAAUAUUGGACAAUGGGGGCAACCCUGAUCCAGCAAUACCGCGUGUGUGAAGAAGGCCUGAGGGUUGUAAAGCACUUUCAAUUGUGAAGAAAAGUUAACGGUUAAUAACCGUUGACCUUGACGUUAACUUUAGAAGAAGCACCGGCUAACUCCGUGCCAGCAGCCGCGGUAAUACGGAGGGUGCAAGCGUUAAUCGGAAUUACUGGGCGUAAAGCGUGCGUAGGCGGUUUAUUAAGUCAGAUGUGAAAGCCCCGGGCUUAACCUGGGAACUGCAUUUGAAACUGGUCAACUAGAGUAUGGUAGAGGAAAGUGGAAUUUCUGGUGUAGCGGUGAAAUGCGUAGAUAUCAGAAGGAACAUCAAUGGCGAAGGCAGCUUUCUGGACCAAUACUGACGCUGAGGUACGAAAGCGUGGGUAGCAAACAGGAUUAGAUACCCUGGUAGUCCACGCCGUAAACGAUGAUAACUAGCCGUUGGGGGGAUUUACCCCUUAGUGGCGAAGCUAACGCGUUAAGUUAUCCGCCUGGGGAGUACGGCCGCAAGGUUAAAACUCAAAGGAAUUGACGGGGACCCGCACAAGCGGUGGAGCAUGUGGUUUAAUUCGAUGCAACGCGAAGAACCUUACCUGGUCUUGACAUCCUGCGAACUUUCUAGAAAUAGAUUGGUGCCUUCGGGAACGCAGUGACAGGUGCUGCAUGGCUGUCGUCAGCUCGUGUCGUGAGAUGUUGGGUUAAGUCCCGUAACGAGCGCAACCCCUAUCCUUAUUUGCCAGCACGUCAUGGUGGGAACUAUAAGGAGACUGCCGGUGAUAAACCGGAGGAAGGCGGGGACGACGUCAAGUCAUCAUGGCCCUUACGACCAGGGCUACACACGUGCUACAAUGGGAAGGACAAAGAGCCGCGAAGCCGCGAGGUGUAGCUAAUCUCAGAAACCUUUUCGUAGUCCGGAUUGGAGUCUGCAACUCGACUCCAUGAAGUCGGAAUCGCUAGUAAUCGUAGAUCAGAAUGCUACGGUGAAUACGUUCCCGGGUCUUGUACACACCGCCCGUCAUACCAUGGGAGUGGGUUGCACCAGAAGUGGCUAGUCUAACUUAGUGAGGACGGUCACCACGGUGUGAUUCAUGACUGGGGUAAAGUCGUAACAAGGUAACC
rnacentral:rRNA from 1 species